rnacentral:SRP_RNA from 1 species
GCCAGGUGUGGUGGUGUGCACCUGUAAUCCCAACUACUCGGGAGGCUGAGGCACAAGAAUCGCUUGAACCCGGGAGGUGGAGGCUGCAGUGAGCUGAGAUCAGACCACUGCACUCCAGCCUGGGUGACAGAGCGAGACUCUGUCUCAA